rnacentral:rRNA from 1 species
AAUGGUUAAGAGCUUGCUCUUAUGAAGUUAGCGGCGGACGGGUGAGUAACACGUGGGUAACCUGCCCAUAAGACUGGGAUAACUCCGGGAAACCGGGGCUAAUACCGGAUAACAUUUUGAACCGCAUGGUUCGAAAUUGAAAGGCGGCUUCGGCUUGUCACUUAUGGAUGGACCCGCGUCGCAUUAGCUAGUUGGUGAGGUAACCGGCUCACCAAGGCAACGAUGCGUAGCCCGACCUGAGAGGGUGAUCGGGCCACACUUGGGACUGAGACACGGCCCAGACUCCUACGGGAGGCAGCAGUAGGGAAUCUUCCGCAAUGGACGAAAGUCUGACGGAGCAACGCCCCCGUGAGUGAUGAAGCUUUCGGGGUCGUAAAACUCUGUUGUUAGGGAAGAACAAGUGCUAGUUGAAUAAGCUGGCACCUUGACGGUACCUAACCAGAAAGCCACGGCUAACUACGUGCCAGCAGCCGGGGUAAUACCGUAGGUGGCAAGCGUUAUCCGGAAUUAUUGGGCGUAAAGCGCGCGCAGGUGGUUUCUUAAGUCUGAUGUGAAACCCCCGCUCACCGUGGAGGGUCAUUGGAAACUGGGAGACUUGAGUGCAGAAGAGAAGUGG